GACCAUAUGAUCUAACGGUUAUGAUACAACUACUUCACAGUUGAUAUGCGGGUUCGAUUCCCGCUAUGGUCU
rnacentral:tRNA from 1 species